GAUUAUGGCUCAGGAUGAACGCUAGCUACAGGCUUAACACAUGCAAGUCGAGGGGCAUCGGGAAGUUAGCUUGCUAACUUUGCCGGCGACCGGCGCACGGGUGAGUAACGCGUAUCCAACCUUCCCUAUAGGUAGAGGAUAGCCCGGAGAAAUUCGGAUUAAUACUCUAUGUUCUUCCAUGCGGACAUCUAAUUGGAAGCAAAGGUUCACCGCUAUAGGAUGGGAUGCGUCUGAUUAGAUAGUAGGCGGGGUAACGGCCCACCUAGUCGACGAUCAGUAGGGGUUCUGAGAGGAAGGUCCCCCACAUUGGAACUGAGACACGGUCCAAACUCCUACGGGAGGCAGCAGUGAGGAAUAUUGGUCAAUGGGCGCGAGCCUGAACCAGCCAAAGUAGCGUGCAGGAUGACGGCCCUAUGGGUUGUAAACUGCUUUUAUACGGGGAUAAAGUGUACCACGUGUGGUGUUUUGUAGGUACCGUAUGAAUAAGGACCGGCUAAUUCCGUGCCAGCCGCCGC
rnacentral:rRNA from 1 species